CUGGGAAUUACGGGAGCCACAAUUCAAGAUGAGAUUUGGGUGGGGACACAACCAAACCAUAUCAUCAUAUAAAUCCAAACCACAGGCUCCAUGAGCAGAUGAGCAGAGUAGCAGAAGAGCUGUGUGGCAGAGGAGAGAAGAGAAGGAACAUGUGAACGUCGAAAGUUCAUCUGGGGACAGUCAGGGAGGAGAUCAGCCAUGGGAUGGCCAAACUCCAGGGGAAGAUUAUCUUCCUACUCCAUCCCCCUCCAGCUCCCCAUCCAUCCCACUGAGAGCCACCUCCAUCCAGCAAUAAAACCCCCGCAUUUACCAUCUUUCAAUUUGUCCCUGUGACCUGAUUCUUCCUGGAUGCCGGACAAGAACCUGGCAGGGGGGCAUUGAGCUGGUUAACACUUAAGCCAUCUGCAGAUGGCAGAGCUACAAGAGCACUGUAAUGUGCACACUAGGGCUUUGGGAGUUGCAGUCACCCACCCCUAGAUGCUACCGUGGGGCCGGAGCCAAAAGUGCUCACCCUUACUCCUACACCUGCCUGUCUGCAUGCUCCCCCUCCUGUAAGGGGUUUGAGGGCAUGGCAGGCAAACAGAUGAGCCACACCCUUGUCACAUGUCCUGCGAGGGGGAUCAGGGACCUCUCCCAUUUCACUUUUACAGAUGUUAGAUAUAUUAAUGGCAUAGUGUAACUUCUGAUUUUAUUUUUAUAUCCUUGUAACUUAUGUGUUAAUUUUUAUAUGUGUGGUGAAUAUGUUUUGCCUUCCCAACCUUCUUUUCUACCUUUCUCUCUCCUACUAGAAUGCCUCUCUUGUUCAGGUUUCUUUCUUUCAUUGCAUAUUCAUCUACUUUACUUAAUUAAAUGGAAAGACCAAUAAUUCAUUUUCUAUGAUGAAGUGUUUCUUUCCUUCUGUGGCAUGGAACAGGACUUAGCACAGAGUCACACUAUGUACAUAUGGAAUGAUGAAUAGGACGAACAAAUUGUAUAUGGCAUCGGUAUUCAUCUUACUACAACAAAAUGUUAAAGCAAAUAAGAUGGAAUAACAACUAAUAUUUAGUUUAAGGUACUUUUCUAUGGGGUGUGUGUGUGUGUGUGUGUGUGUUUUACUAGCAGUAGGUACUGGGCUCUGUAUGGUAUAUUAGUAAGAGAGUUCAAGCAAGGCAAGCAGUUGUACUUGUGAACCUAUUCUCUUAACCCCUGUGUGAUAAUGCUAUCAGAGAACACAUAGACUAGAAGGGCUUCAGUCUUAGAUGACAUUAUUAAGCUACUGCUCAGACAUCCCUGGAAUCAGACCUACUCCUAGACUUCCAAUUAUAUUAUACGUCAUUGUUUAUAAUAAUACUAAGUAAAGAUUUUUGUUAAGUGAGUAUAAAAGUGUCUUGACUGAGUCCUCAAACUGACCAUCGGGCUGUCUGAUACCGUUGUAGACCUGAUUGAAAAUUCUUGAUCUGGCCACAUACCCUGUUUACAUUGAUGCAGAUUCAACUGGGUGAAAUAACUGUGAACUGGGCAUGUGAAGAGAAAGCUGAAAGCCAUGAUCUCAAGAUGGAAACUUCAGUAUCCAGCAAAGAAAUGGUGAAGGCGUUCGUUAUGUGGGAUAUGCUGUUACCACUGAACUUGAAGUUAUCAAAGAAGUUCUAUUCUUAACCCUUAAUCUGCUCAGGAUGCUGUAACAACACCAUAAACUUUCAAACAACUCUAUUUCCUACGGUUCUGGAGGCUGGAAGUCCACAAUCAAAGUGUCAUGUUGUCAGGUUGUGGUGAGGGCCCUCUUUUGGGUGUAGAUUGCUAACUUUUCUGUAUGUGUUCACAUGGCAGAAAGAGAUUGAGCUAGCUCUUGGAUCCUUUCUUAUAAGGGCACCAAUCCCAAUACAGAGGCUUCACUCUCAUGACAUAAUUGUCUCCCAAAGACUCUACCUCCAAAUAUUAUCAAUCACAUUAGGGGAUAGAUUUUAACACAUGAUUUUGGGGGGAACACAUUCAGUCCAUAACAUUUCUUGAGUCUUCUUCUAGGACCCAUAGGUUAUUUUAAAAGUGGCUUGUUCAGUUCCAAGUGUUUGAAGAUUUUUUUUUUCUGUUAUCUUUAACUUACUGAUUUCUAGAUAGACCCCAUUGUGCUCAGAGAACACUCCUUAUGUGAUUUCAAUUAUUUUAAAUUUGUUGAGAUUUUAUGACUUAGUAUGUCAUCUGUCUUGGUGUGUAUUCUGUGGGGGGGAUGGGGGGUGCUUGAAAAACGGGUAUUCUGCUAUUAUAGAAUGUCAAAAUAUCAACUGUAAUAAACAAGAAAAAUAAUCCUAGUCUUUUAUUUAAGGGCCCUCUUUAGUCCAUCUCAACAGACCCUUCUCCGAAGGGGAAAGAAAUGCAGCUCACAAGAGCCCAUUAAACAACUAAAACAAGACAAAAUAAAACAACUACCCCCUGCCAAUUUGCACACUGUUACUUCUUUUGUUUUCCCAAUCUUAUUUCUUCUUCUUUUUUAUAAUAAAAAAUUUCAAAGCAAU
rnacentral:lncRNA from 1 species